rnacentral:miRNA from 1 species
AGGGUGAGAGGGGAAGAUGAGAGGGAGGAGUAACAAAAGUGAAAACAAAAUCUUGAAAGUGAAAACAAUUUGAAAUAGAUUUCAGUUUUUAGUUUUUGUUUUCACUUUUGUUACUCCUCCCUCCCAUCCUCUCCUCUCAUCUUC